CCACAGUCAAGAUGUUCCUUCCUGGUGCAGUUGCAGGAUCUGAUAAAUAAAAGCAGCAGACGACUUUUAGUGAAGGAUUUUGGAUUCUGGACCUCAUGUCACUAACCCAGAGUUGAAAAUCCUCAGAGACAUGAUUCUGCCAUUCAGACAACAGCACGUGUCAAGCAUGAACAAAAUGACUAUAGGAUGACAGUGAUUUCCCAUUAAGUUUUCCCGGGAGCAACUACAAAGCCAAACUAUAGUGUUGUAUGAAACAGGCCACUUUACAUUCCAGCAGACCUCCUCACUUGGUAUUGUUUAUGCAAAUAUACCCUCUUUUCAAAAAGCGUCUGGCUUCAGAAAAGGCCUGGCAGUGGAGCACAAAAGCGAAGUUGUACAGCAGCUACCAGACCUGAAAAGACAGGCUGAAUGGAGCAAUGGAUGCAAUAUGCAGUCGGCCAGACAAACAGAAGAACCAUUCUUUUCUGGGUAGCAGUGGUGUGUGGAGAAGGCAGCCUAUCCCAGAGGGAGGAAGAAAAGGCCUUGAGAGAAUAUGAAGUAUCAAUGAUCUGAACAUUUAAAGAAAAAUCCUGAGUGUGUCCUUUUAUGGGAAAGUUUGGAUAACAGCAUGUUUAACCCUAUAUUCAUUUUGUCUCAGAUGUUGCAAAUUACUGCCGAGAAAAUAAACUAUCCAAGGAAAAAUAUUUCAGUGAGCAUACAGGAGGCAAAAAGCUAGCUAGCUAGCCAGACAGAGAGAUAGAUGGGUGCAUUUGGAUCUAGCUGAUGGGCAGCUAGGAUAAAGGACUUGGUUUCGAAAUAUUUCCUUGAGAUAGGAAAAAAAAACAUCAAAGGGCAAGGGCAGGGAAUAGAUAUUUCUUGUUAAUUUUUUUCUAGUGGAUAUCUCAUUUUAUCAUAUUGGUUAUGCAAAAUUGUUUUUACAAAGCUGAUUAUCAAUGCAUUAAAAAAAUUUACUAAAAAUAGAAUAGAAAUUGAUAAUAGGACUGGAGAAUAGAAACUGUUUAUCAUCUCAGUGAAUGGCAAUGAAUCUUCUACCAGGAGGCCCACAAACAAGUACAGCAAGGCAAAAAUCCAUGUCCCAGUAGAGAUAAAUAAAUAAACUAAAAAUUGCCAUGUUAUACUACACAUAUUUUUACAGUACACCUGGUUUAAAGAUAAGAAAACACAGCAUAUAGGUAAUUUACAUCUGCUUUGGAACGGUGUGAGAAUCAUUUACUCCAGCAAAUACACUGGUAAACAUCACAGGGAGAUGUGCAACACACACGUGCACACCUUAUGUUGGUGCACUAGCACAUGUGAAUUUGCUCACGCACAUUUUACAUCAGGAAAUGCCCUGUCAAGAGGCUCAGUCUACUGGAUUGGAUAUAUAGUAAACAAUUAACCAAUAGCAUGAGAAUAGGAACCUCAUAUCUGCUGCUUUUUAGGAUCCUGAGACUGGUUAAUGUGGAGCCUCAAUAAAAUGACUGCAUG